GACGGGAGAUGCAAGCGUUAUCCGGAAUGAUUGGGCGUAAAGGGUCCGUAGGUGGAUUGUAAAGUCUUUUGUUAAAAAGGUGGGCUCAACCCAGUUCAAGCAGUAGAAACUCACAAUCUAGAGAGGGGUAGGGGCAGAGGGAAUUCCUGGUGUAGCGGUGAAAUGCGUAGAUCUUGGGAAGAACACCAAUGGCGAAAGCACUCUGCUGGGCCCAAACUGACACUGAGGGACGAGAGGUAGGGGAGCAAAAGGG
rnacentral:rRNA from 1 species